UACAGGGGGGGCAAGCGUUGUUCGGAAUUACUGGGCGUAAAGGGUUUGUAGGUGGCUUGCUCAGUCAGACGUGAAAUCCCUCAGCUUAACUGGGGAACUGCGUCUGAUACUAGCGAGCUUGAGUGCAGGAGAGGAACGCGGAAUUCCAGGUGUAGCGGUGAAAUGCGUAGAUAUCUGGAGGAACACCAAUGGCGAAGGCAGCACUCUGGGACGUGACUGACGCUGAGACGCGAAAGCGUGGGGAGCAAACAGG
rnacentral:rRNA from 1 species